UGGGGAAUCUUGCACAAUGGAGGAAACUCUGAUGCAGCGACGCCGCGUGAGCGAUGAAGCCCUUCGGGGUGUAAAGCUCUUUCGACGGGAACGAUAAUGACGGUACCCGAAGAAGAAGCUGCGGCUAACUACGUGCCAGCAGCCGCGGUAAUACGUAGGCAGCAAGCGUUGUUCGGAAUUACUGGGCGUAAAGAGUGUGUAGGCGGUGUUCUAAGUCUGUUGUGAAAUCUCCCGGCUUAACUGGGAGGGUGCGGCGGAGACUGGAAUGCUAGAGUAUGGGAGAGGUAAGCGGAAUUCCUGGUGUAGCGGUGAAAUGCGUAGAUAUCAGGAGGAACACCUGUGGUGUAGACAGCUUACUGGACCAUGACUGACGCUGAGACACGAAAGCGUGGGUAGCAAACAGGAUUAGAUACCCUGGUAGUCCACGCCCUAAACGAUGCAUACUUGGUGUGAGCCAUUCAUUUGGUUCGUGCCGGAGCUAACGCGUUAAGUAUGCCGCCUGGGGAGUACGGUCGCAAGGC
rnacentral:rRNA from 1 species